rnacentral:rRNA from 1 species
AGCGAACGUUAGCGGCGGGCCUAACACAUGCAAGUCGAACGCGAAAGGUCUUCGGACUGAGUAGAGUGGCGCACGGGUGAGUAACACGUAGGUAAUCUACCCUUUGGCGGGGGAUAACGUUCCGAAAGGAGCGCUAAUACCGCAUAAGACCACGUGGUCUCCGGACCGAGUGGGAAAAGGUGGCCUCUUCUUGAAAGCUACCACCGAAGGAUGAGCCUGCGUCCCAUCAGCUAGUUGGUAAGGUAAUGGCUUACCAAGGCGAAGACGGGUGGCUGGUUUGAGAGAAUGAUCAGCCACACUGGCACUGGAACACGGGCCAGACUCCUACGGGAGGCAGCAGUGAGGAAUAUUGGGCAAUGGGCGAAAGCCUGACCCAGCCACGCCGCGUGAGUGAUGAAGGCCCUCGGGUCGUAAAGCUCUGUGGAGAGGGACGAAAACCCUGGUUUCAAAUAGGCUCCAGGCUUGACGGUACCUCUUUAGCAAGCACCGGCUAACUCUGUGCCAGCAGCC